GACGAACGCUGGCGGCGUGCUUAACACAUGCAAGUCGAACGGAAAGGCCCUGCUUUUGUGGGGUGCUCGAGUGGCGAACGGGUGAGUAACACGUGAGUAACCUGCCCUUGACUUUGGGAUAACUUCAGGAAACUGGGGCUAAUACCGGAUAGGAGCUCCUGCUGCAUGGUGGGGGUUGGAAAGUUUCGGCGGUUGGGGAUGGACUCGCGGCUUACCAGCUUGUUGGUGGGGUAGUGGCUUACCAAGGCUUUGACGGGUAGCCGGCCUGAGAGGGUGACCGGCCACAUUGGGACUGAGAUACGGCCCAGACUCCUACGGGAGGCAGCAGUGGGGAAUAUUGCACAAUGGGCGGAAGCCUGAUGCAGCGGCGCCGCGUGCGGGAUGACGGCCUUCGGGUUGUAAACCGCUUUCGCCUGUGACGAAGCGUGAGUGACGGUAAUGGGUAAAGAAGCACCGGCUAACUACGUG
rnacentral:rRNA from 1 species